rnacentral:sRNA from 1 species
AUUACCAGUAUUGCUAACAAUCACCUAUUAAUAUAAGUUUUAACUAACCUCCAUCCGAACACAGAAAUCCGGAACCGGCCAUAUGUACUUCUCGUUGUUGGUGACUGAACCAUUAAAAUGAUUCAUCGUGUGUGAGAUGGUUUCCUAACAUGUAAUCGAAAGAAUACCUCCCCCACUGAAAAUUCAUACAAAACGUGAGAUCACUGACAGUCUUGAGGCAACAUUCAUCCACUUGAGGUGCCUUAUCCCCGGUCUUGAUAGGCGCUAUGAUAAUGCUGCUUAAGAAAUACAAGACCAUCAUCCUCAACCUUUCUUUUGAUCUUUCACAUGACGGUACAAUUCUGAUAUAGGUCAAACUGCCUUAAGACCACUCUCUCAAAUAAGAGAUCGAUUGUAGCACUUAAGGGUCGAAUUCCACAAAGCUCUCGGAUCACACAAUAGACCAAGGUUUUGAAUUAAGCUACGUAAGAUAGUAAUGAAGAUAAAAAUAAAACAAAGGGAAGCAAUAGCAGAUUGUGAGGUUGUAAGACAAGAAAGUAAAAACAUCAAGCUUAGGGUAUUCUCCGGAAACUAUUAGUUAGUAGAUCUAAUAAUAGGUAGGUUGUUAUCGAACCAUUCUUAAACUCAAACUCUAAUUAUGGAAUAACCGGUGGUGUUCCGCGAAACUCCCUAUGCCUGGAGCUAAGAAUAACCGGAUAAGUCGAGAGAUCUUUAACCUAAACAUGCAUUCUAAAGGAGAUCAGUUGUUCACCUUAGUAGAUAGGCCGAUUCUUAUUACACAGCUAUAAACCAGGCUCAUCAAAUAAUAGAUCCAACUACAGAUACCUAUGGU